GUUCUUGUGGCGCAGUGGUAGCGCGCCGUUCUUAUAUUGGUCUUUUGCACUGAUAUGGUCGCUUGUAUAAGUCAUGCGGAUGUCCUGGGUUCGACCCCCAGCAGGAACA